AAGUCGUAACAAGGUUUCCGUAGGUGAACCUGCGGAAGGAUCAUUACCGAGUUAGGGUCCCUCCAGGGCCCGACCUCCUCAUCCUGUGUCUACCCCACCUCAGCGUUGCUUCGGCGGGCCGGACUCGACCACAACUGGUCUUGACCGCCGGGCCCAGUGGCCUGGAGAGUCGUCCGCCGAUGGCCAUCAUACAAACUCUGUACUGAAACAGUGUCGUCUAAGAUGGAAUCGUUAAUUAAAACAAAACUUUCAACAACGGAUCUCUUGGUUCGG
rnacentral:misc_RNA from 1 species